GACGAACGCUGGCGGCGUGCCUAAUACAUGCAAGUCGAACGCUGAAGAGAGGAGCUUGCUCUUCUUGGAUGAGUUGCGAACGGGUGAGUAACGCGUAGGUAACCUGCCUUGUAGCGGGGGAUAACUAUUGGAAACGAUAGCUAAUACCGCAUAACAAUAGGUGACACAUGUCAUUUAUUUGAAAGGGGCAAUUGCUCCACUACAAGAUGGACCUGCGUUGUAUUAGCUAGUAGGUGAGGUAACGGCUCACCUAGGCGACGAUACAUAGCCGACCUGAGAGGGUGAUCGGCCACACUGGGACUGAGACACGGCCCAGACUCCUACGGGAGGCAGCAGUAGGGAAUCUUCGGCAAUGGGGGCAACCCUGACCGAGCAACGCCGCGUGAGUGAAGAAGGUUUUCGGAUCGUAAAGCUCUGUUGUAAGUCAAGAACGAGUGUGAGAGUGGAAAGUUCACACUGUGACGGUAGCUUACCAGAAAGGGACGGCUAACUACGUG
rnacentral:rRNA from 1 species